rnacentral:rRNA from 1 species
UACGUAGGGUGCGAGCGUUAAUCGGAAUUACUGGGCGUAAAGCGUGCGCAGGCGGUUUUUUAAGACAGGCGUGAAAUCCCCGGGCUUAACCUGGGAACUGCGCUUGUUACUGGCAGGCUGGAGUGUGGCAGAGGGGGGUGGAAUUCCACGUGUAGCAGUGAAAUGCGUAGAGAUCCGGAGGAACACCAGAGGCGAAGGCGGCCUACUGGGUCAGUACUGACGCUGAGGCGCGAAAGCCAGGGGAGCGAACGGG